ACCUUAUCAAGAGCGGCGGAGGAACAGGUCCUGUGAAGCCCGACAACCGGCUGAUUGCAAGCGUCAGCAGCGGUGCCAAAUCCUGCGGUAUAUCCGAAAGAUGAGGG
rfam:Ruminococcus sp. CAG:330, WGS project CBIH01000000 data, contig: 115